rnacentral:rRNA from 1 species
UGCGUAGGUGGCGCCGUCAGUGGGGUGUGAAAUUCCGGAGCUUAACUCCGAAACUGCAUUCCAUACUGCGGUGCUUGAGGACUGGAGAGGAGACUGGAAUUCAUGGUGUAGCAGUGAAAUGCGUAGAGAUCAUGAGGAAGACCAGUGGCGAAGGCGGGUCUCUGGACAGUUCCUGACACUGAGGCACGAAGGCUAGGGGAGCGAACG